GUCCAGCUAGCUCAGUCGGUAAAGCAUAAGAUUCUUAAUCUCAGGAUAGUGGGUUCAAGUCCAACAUUGGACG
rnacentral:tRNA from 1 species